GUAAACUCAAAAAUCAAAAUAUGACUUAUAUGAGUUAUUUAAUGUAAAAAAACAAGACACAAAUUAUGGUGGUGAUAUUUCAACUCUAUUUCAGGGCCAUUUUCAAACCAGGGCCAUUUACGAACGUGCUCAGAUCUUUAUAAGGAGAAAUUGGAAGAUGACAAAUGGCAUUAUCAUUGACAUGAUUUGGAGUAUGUUUUUUCUUAUAUUAGUGCUAUAAACUAUCACAAAGUACUUAGCGAAGAUUCCUCCCUGACCUUCCAUCACAUAAAACCAACUUAGAAUGUUUUAAACAUUUAAAAAGCGGCUAAUAAAUAUUUUUA